rnacentral:rRNA from 1 species
CCUACGGGAGGCAGCAGUGAGGAAUAUUUGACAAUGGGCGGAAGCCUGAACCAGCCAAGCAGCGUGCAGGAUGACGGCCCUACGGUUUGUAAAUUGCUUUUAUACGGGAAUAAAGCGUCUUACGUGUAGGGUUUGGCAUGUACCGUAUGAAUAAGGACCGCCUAAUUCCGUGCCAGCAGCCGCGGUAAUACGGAAGGUCCGGGCGUUAUCAGGAUCUAGUGGGGUGAAAGGGAGCGUAGGCCGGAUAUCAGGCGUGCUGCGAAAUGGCCGGGCUCAACCCGGGCCUUGCAGCGCAAACUGGCGUGCUUGAGUCCGCGGAGGGCAGGCGGAAUUCGUGGUGUAGCGGUGAAAUGCUUAGAUAUGACGAGGAACCCCGAUUGCGAAGGCAGCUUGCUGCAGCGGAACUGACGCUGAUGCUCGAAAGCGCGGGUAUCGAACAGGAUUAGAUACCCCAGUAGUC